AUUGAACGCUGGCGGCAGGCCUAACACAUGCAAGUCGAGCGAGCGGCGGACGGGGGAGUAAUGUCUGGGAAACUGACUGAUGGAGGGGGAUAACUACUGGAAACGGUAGCUAAUACCGCAUAACAUCCGAUGUGCCCAUAUGGGAUUAGCUAGGAGGUGGGGUAACGGCUCACCUAGGCGACGAUCCCUCGCUGGUCUUAGAGGAUGACCAACCGAACUGAGACUGAGACACGGUCCAGACGCCUACGGGGUGCAGCAGUGGGGAAUAUUGCACAAUGGGCGCAGUCCUGAUGCAGCCAUGCCGCGCGUGUGAAGAAGGCCUUCGGGUUGUAAAGCACUUUCAGCGGGGAGGCGUUACCCGCAGAAGAAGAACCGGCUAACUCCGUGCCAGCAGCCGCGGUAAUAC
rnacentral:rRNA from 1 species